rnacentral:rRNA from 1 species
UUCACGAUAAGGCAGGUGAGAAUCCUGCCCGCCGGAAGUCUAAGGAUUCCUGGGGAAGGCUCGUCCGCCCAGGGUAAGUCGGGACCUAAGGCAAGGCCGAAAGGCGUAGUCGAUGGGAAACAGGUAGAUAUUCCUGUACCACCGCUAUAUGAUGACGAAGCAGUGACGCAGAAAGGUAGAGCGAGCGGCCAGUUGGUGAGCCGUUCAAGUGAGUAGGGUGUUGCGUAGGCAAAUCCGCGCAACGUGAGCCUGAGACACGAUGACGAGUGAAAAAUAGUAACGAAGUCCUUGAUCCUCCGCUGCCAAGAAAAGCUGCUAAGGAAUAUAGAGGUGCCCGUACCGCAAACCGACACAGGUAGACAGGUAGAGAAUACUAAGGCGCGCGAGAUAACUCUUGUUAAGGAACUCUGCAAAAUGAACCCGUAACUUCGGGAGAAGGGUUGCUCUCUAGCGUGAGUAUGAGCAAUACAGAGCGCAGGAGAGUCGCAGUGAAAAGGUCCAGGCGACUGUUUAGCAAAAACACAGGUCAUUGCAAAAUCGCAAGAUGAAGUAUAAUGGCUGACGCCUGCCCGGUGCUGGAAGGUUAAGGGGAAGAGUGCAAGCUUUGAACCGAAGCCCCAGUAAACGGCGGCCGUAACGAUAACGGUCCUAAGGUAGCGAAAUUCCUUGUCGGGUAAGUUCCGACCCGCACGAAAGGCGAAACGAUCUGGACGCUGUCUCAACAAGGGACUCGGUGAAAUUGAAAUUCCGGUAAAGAUGCCGGAUACCUGCGAUAGGACAGAAAGACCCCAUGGAGCUUUACUGUAGCCUGAUAUUGGGUUUCGGAUAUUCAUGUACAGGAUAGGUGGGAGACUAAGAAGCAUGGACGCCAGUUUGUGCGGAGUCACUGGUGGGAUACCACCCUUAAAUGUUUGGAAUUCUAACAAGGAGUCUUGAAGCAGAUUAUUGGACAGUGUCAGGUGGGCAGUUUGACUGGGGCGGUCGCCUCCCAAAAGGUAACGGAGGCGCUCAAAGGUUCCCUCAGAACGGAUGGAAAUCGUUCGCAGAGUGCAAAGGCAGAAGGGAGCUUGACUGCGAGAGCCACAACUCGAGCAGAUAGGAAACUAGGACUUAGUGAUCCGGCGGUCGCGAGUGGAAGUGCCGUCGCUCAACGGAUAAAAGCUACCCUGGGGAUAACAGGCUUAUCUCCCCCAAGAGUUCACAUCGACGGGGAGGUUUGGCACCCGAUGUCGGCUCAUCGCAUCCUGGGGCUGAAGUAGGUCCCAAGGGUUGGGCUGUUCGCCCAUUAAAGCGGUACGCGAGCUGGGUUCAGAACGUCGUGAGACAGUUCGGUCCCUAUCCAUCGCGGGCGUAGGAAAUUUGAAGGGAGCUGACCCUAGUACGAGAGGACCGGGUUGGACAGACCGCUGGUGAACCAGUUGUUCUGCCAAGAGCAUAGCUGGGUAGCUAAGUCUGGAAAAGAUAGACGCUGAAAGCAUCUAAGCGUGAAGCGAACCUUAAGAUGAGAUUUCCCACAACGAAAGUUGAUAAGACACCAGAGAGAAUAACUGGUAGAUAGGUCAGGAGUGUAAGUGUGGUGACACAUUGAGCGGACUGAUACUAAUAAGUCGAAGACUUAGCCG